rnacentral:rRNA from 1 species
CCCUUAGAUGUUCCGGGCCGCACGCGUGCUACACUGACCGGCGCAACAAGUUUCUUUCCUUGGCUCGAUAGGCCUGGGUAAUCUUUGAACGCCGGUCGUGAUGGGGAUAGAUCCUUGCAAUUUUUGAUCUUCAACGAGGAAUUCCUAGUAAAUGCGAGUCAUCAUCUCGCGUUGAUUACGUCCCUGCCCUUUGUACACACCGCCCGUCGCACCUACCGAUUGAAUGGUCCGGUGAAGCCUCGGGAUUGCGAAUGCUUCGUGCGGACGCGAGAACUUGGCUAAACCUUACCAUUUAGAGGAAGGUGAAGUCGUAACA